AAAUUGAAGAGUUUGAUCAUGGCUCAGAUUGAACGCUGGCGGCAGGCCUAACACAUGCAAGUCGAACGGUAACAGGAAGCAGCUUGCUGCUUUGCUGACGAGUGGCGGACGGGUGAGUAAUGUCUGGGAAACUGCCUGAUGGAGGGGGAUAACUACUGGAAACGGUGGCUAAUACCGCAUAAUGUCGCAAGACCAAAGAGGGGGACCUUCGGGCCUCUUGCCAUCAGAUGUGCCCAGAUGGGAUUAGCUUGUUGGUGAGGUAACGGCUCACCAAGGCGACGAUCCCUAGCUG
rnacentral:rRNA from 1 species